UGGGGUAUAGCUCAGUGGUAGAGCACAUGCCUAGCAUGUAUGAAGCCCUGGGUUCAAUCUCUAACACCACAA
rnacentral:tRNA from 2 species